GACAGAGGGUGCAAACGUUGUUCGGAAUUACUGGGCGUAAAGCGCGUGUAGGCAGCUUGGCAAGUCGGGUGUGAAAGCCCUGGGCUCAACCUAGGAAGUGCACUCGAAACUGCUUCGCUUGAGUAUCGGAGAGGAAAGCGGAAUUCUCGGUGUAGAGGUGAAAUUCGUAGAUAUCGAGAGGAACACCAGUGGCGAAGGCGGCUUUCUGGACGAUCACUGACGCUGAGGCGCGAAAGCGUGGGGAGCAAACAGG
rnacentral:rRNA from 1 species